UACGUAAGUGGCAAGCGUUGUCCGGAUUUACUGGGUGUAAAGGGCGUGCAGCCGGAGAGACAAGUCAGAUGUGAAAUCCACGGGCUCAACCCGUGAACUGCAUUUGAAACUGUUUCCCUUGAGUGUCGGAGAGGUAAUCGGAAUUCCUUGUGUAGCGGUGAAAUGCGUAGAUAUAAGGAAGAACACCAGUGGCGAAGGCGGAUUACUGGACGAUAACUGACGGUGAGGCGCGAAAGCGUGGGGAGCAAACAGG
rnacentral:rRNA from 1 species